AUAUGAAUAAUAUCGUCAGGCCCGUGUAGAAGACAAAGUGAAUGCGAACUCGAAAGGAAUAAGGUCAUCUGUACUAACUGUCAAGUCGGGUAUUCUGGAGAACGCUGUGAUUGCCCUCCGGCAGAAUGUGACGAUAUCUAUGGGAUAAAUAAGGUAUGCCAACAAUUUUCACCGAACGGAUACGCAAGGUUGCCAAAUAUUUCACUUCCGGAACAAUUUUAUCAGUCUAGAACGCGCAGAAUUAUCACCGAGUGUUUCCAGGAUUGUGUCAAUGCAAAUUGUCCUUUUUUUCAGUAUAAACCAAUUCAGCACUAUUGUUUUAUAUAUAAAGGAUCUUCAAAGGUCCCUUUUGCUUGUAGAAUGGGUGGACUUCAUAGAACGCGAGGGACACAUAUUUAUAUAAGAAGAUGUGACAAAUGUAACGAAUAUAUCUGAGAAGGCAAGUAAGUUCAAACGCAAGCCUAAUUAAAUGAUGAUGAACAAUAUACAUUCCAUAUUAACAAGACUUACACUUGUUCUAAGACUUUCAAAGUUAAGUUUUUAUUAUCUUAGAUUAGAAUGCAGAAUUAUCCCGUACGUUCUCAAAUAAGCUGUAGUACGAGACAUAUUUAUUCUAAUUUCAAGAGAAAUCCAUAACAUGAAGUAAAAAUAAAACAUUUUUCCUGGUAAA